GCUGAUCAAGGAUGACAAUAUUUUAAUUUGUGACUGCUGGAUGAAGCUUGCGGAUAUGGGACUGAGAUCAGCU
ensembl:snoRNA Small nucleolar RNA SNORD99